GAUGAGCGCUGGCGGCGUGCCUAAUACAUGCAAGUCGAGCGAACAGACGAGGAGCUUGCUCCUCUGACGUUAGCGGCGGACGGGUGAGUAACACGUGGAUAACCUACCUAUAAGACUGGGAUAACUUCGGGAAACCGGAGCUAAUACCGGAUAAUAUAUUGAACCGCAUGGUUCAAUAGUGAAAGACGGUUUUGCUGUCACUUAUAGAUGGAUCCGCGCCGCAUUAGCUAGUUGGUAAGGUAACGGCUUACCAAGGCAACGAUGCGUAGCCGACCUGAGAGGGUGAUCGGCCACACUGGAACUGAGACACGGUCCAGACUCCUACGGGAGGCAGCAGUAGGGAAUCUUCCGCAAUGGGCGAAAGCCUGACGGAGCAACGCCGCGUGAGUGAUGAAGGUCUUCGGAUCGUAAAACUCUGUUAUUAGGGAAGAACAAAUGUGUAAGUAACUAUGCACGUCUUGACGGUACCUAAUCAGAAAGCCACGGCUAACUACGU
rnacentral:rRNA from 1 species